GACAACGAAAGAUGAUGUUUACUGACACCAAAAAAAGAUCGACCAGACAUUUACGGAUGAAUGGGAAGAACUCGACGUUUACCGACAUCGAAAGAUGAUGUUUACUGACACCAAAAAAAGGAUCGACCAGACAUUUACGGAUGAAUGGGAAGAACUCGACGUUUACCGACAUCGAAAGAUGAUGUUUACUGACACCAAAAAAAGGAUCGACCAGAC
rnacentral:lncRNA from 1 species